GUAAAUACGUGCGGAUCUGGUAUUUAAAAAAAAAGGCUUCCAAAGUAAAUUUUGAAAGGACAGCUUUGUUUAGAUGUAAGCUUUUCACUGCAGGAACUGUCUGUUUCUAGGAGUUCCUAUGAUGCCUGGAACAAGGGAGACCUGUUCUUGUCUGACCCGCUGCACUGUUCUGGUACACACAAUUAUGGUGUCAAUGGAAGGAUUAUUUGCACACACUCACCUGCAGCAACUCUUCCAUCAGUCAGAACUGUAACCAACGUUACUAUUUUGGUGCAAGUUUGUGCAAACUAGCCACCUGCUCAAACCACUGCUUUAAAUCUACCAGAAUUGUCAUCCCUGACAGAUGUCUGCCAAUGGAAGGACAGUAUGUAAAGAAUCUGGUGGUUUUAAGUGAAUUUCCUUGUGAAUCAGAGCAGAGGUUUCAACUCAUGUUUCAGAGGAGGAAACAAAAAAAGCAGUGGUCUACAGCAGCCAACACAUGAGUUAGCUGGCAAGAUCCAGGCCCCAGGUGGAAAUCUGCAGCUUGAUGUUGAAAUUCACUGAGAUAUUGCAAAAGGACAGCACAUCAGGCAGCACCACUGCUAGCAAGUCAAGGACACAGCUCCGAUCUUCAGUGGUGCUAAAUGUCUGCAGCUCACUGAAUCCACACUCCUAGGCUGCAGGUGAUCUCUGAAGGAAAUUCAGCACAGAACGGUAAGAUCAAGGUCUCGUCAGAGCAGCAGUGCUUGAAGAAGACUAACAAAGGUGACUGCAGGGAAGGAAGGAGACCUUCAAACAAUUGUCUGAGCUUCUACAGGUUACCUGUUAAUGAGGAAUUGAGAAAAUUGGUUACUGGAGCACAGCAACAGCCAGGCUACAGGGUCCCACAGGACAACGCUGACUGGAGUUGCUGCUUUAAAGCCUGGUUGCAAUCCCUCCCGC